rnacentral:lncRNA from 10 species
ACCACAACAUGCUUCUGAGCAGGCUGUAAUCCUGUCCCUGUGAUGGACAGCAAGCCUUUCUGUGACCUCACCUGCUCAGGUCAGGGUGGAUCCCUCCAGAACGUAAGGUAUGGCAAUUGGCCUAAAUCUGCUUCUGAACACUGAAGCUGAGUGCUCCCAUCUUCCUGCCGUCAGUUGCAGAGACUGGAGAAGCUGCAUCUUCUCAGACACCAAAACCACGGGUUCAGUCACCUGUGUGAGGAGCUCAGUGCUGGAAGAUAAAAUACCAGCACCUGUUUGACACAUCGUGCAUCCAUCCAUCCAUCUGUCCAUCCAUCCAUCCAUCCAUCCAUCCAUCUAU